rnacentral:lncRNA from 7 species
GGAUCAAUGAUGAAUGUCUGUGAGCAUUCUUAGAGUCAUGAAUCAUGACGACAAAUUUAAUUCUGAGAUCAACAUCAUAAAGUAUCCAGUGACAGCUAUAAGAAGUAGUCUUCUUUUAUAAGUCAGUAAAUGUAAAUAAAAAUUGACUAGGAAGUCAUUUAAUCAAAAGGCAGCUCACAAAGAAGACUACAUAUAUGUAUAUAUGUAUAUAUGUAAGAAGAAAGUGUGACAGAGUAAUGACCAUGGAGGUGAGGGAUAAGAUGAAAUGAGCAGAAGCAGGCAGAAUACAUAGAUAAGCGAACGGAACAUCAAUCUCUUUAUAACCUCUUCUGUCUAUACUUCAAGAAUGGAUAUCCUGCAAGUCGGCUUCGUAGAGUCUCCCUUGAAAGUGGACCUCAUGAUCUAGCCUUUAUGUCCGUGGAUUGACACUGUGAUGGAUUCCCCCCAAGUUCAUUUAGAUAUUCUCUCUUAUUCAUAAAUGUCACGGUCAGCUCUGUUCUUAUAGAUACCAGAAUGGAUACCCCAAGAAUGGAUACCCCUAAGCUGAUGUAUAUACACCCUUCCUCGGUUGUGAGAUUCCUGCUCUGGUGGUUGUAGUCAUAAGAUAUACAUCGUUGCGUACACCUUGGUUGUGGGCACGCACACUACUGUUGAAUUACCACCUUGUCCAAGUGGAUGGAUGCCCUCAAUGGGAUUGGCACUUUCUCCAUUGCUCCUGCACUCUGUUAUCAGCACUUCGGGUUCAUAAUGUACACACAGCAAUGGAUUUUCUGCAGCUGAUUUUCUAUAUUCUGUUUUCUUCGGGUAAGCAGAAACAGAUGCCUUCCUCACUGGUCACCAGGUUCAAGGUCCCUCAUAUGUGUCAGGUGCAUAGUCACCAACAAAGGCCAACUUCACAUCAAUGGGUGGAUCGUACCUCGGCCUAAGCUCCAGGAUUGAUUGUGCUGUUAGAGUCACAGCUACAACCGGCUCAGGGAACCCAGUGGAAGAGGAGGUGGAGUGUGAGAGCCAAUUGGAAUGGAAGACAGUGAGGAAACAAGGCCUUCGAGACACAAGAGGACUGCUGAGCUCACAAAGACUGAGGCAGCACCCUCAGGACCUGCACAGGUCUAAGCUUGAUGCGAUCUGAGUACUGAGAGGGCAACUGGACACAAUUCUAUAUUGAUAACCCAGAAGCUUUCUCCAGUUGAUAAACUCUUUCAAAGGAAAAACUUGUUUUCUACCAUGGAGUGACACUGGAUAUAGAAACUACCGUUAACAGCAGACUCCAUGGCUCAGACUUCCAAUACAAUAUGAACUCAGUUGCAAUUUUUUGCAAGGUUUUUCGACUCAUAGUUCUUUGUCUGGGUACUUUUUCACCCUACAGAGAAUUUCUGUAUAUAUUAUCGUUUCUGAUUCUAGUGUUUUGAAUUUUCGCUGGGUCUAAAUAUCUCUGUCUCAGUGUCAGUAUGUGUUUCUCAUGAUUUUUCUUUGCUUCUCUUUUUCCUAUUCUUUGCUUGUAUUCCCUGGUUUGUGUUUGAGUGUCUGGGAACUCUGAGGGUCUGGUUGGUGAUAUUGUUGUUCUUCCUAUGGGGUUGAAAACCCCUUCAGCUCCUUCAGCCUUUCACUAAGUCCUCCAUUAUUAUGAUUCCUAUGCUCAGUCCAGUGGUUGGAUGUGAGCCCCCCCCCCCCUCUGCAUUUGUCAGGCUC